GCUUACCCCCGGGGCCUCAACCCUGCUGAAUGCCAGGACGAGAGUUUGUGUCAAAUACUGUUCUUGGCCUCUUGCCUAACUGGGUCGAGGGAGACUCAGGAGGAGUGAUGGUGGCUGACUUGCUCGGGGAGAGCAUCCCCAGGAGCCGUGUCCCCCGGGGGUCCGCCAGCGGCCCCGCCUACCUUUCCCUCUUCAUGGCAGCUGCUCCUUGUGAUUGAUCCCGCCAGGAGGACCCACCCCGCCACGGGCGCCGCCCCCGUGGAGCCAGGGUCAGGUGCUCUCCGCCCAGUGCCCCUUCUGCAGAAGGAAGAAAGUCUCCCUGUGCUCUAUUCUGAAGAAGAGGAGGUGCGGAGAGAAACUGACUUGUCUGAUGCUUAAAUCGCCAGCCUCAGCCUCCCGACCCAACCUACUAGGUGGGAGUGGCUGGGUCCGCCUCACUUGCUCACUGCUCUGGGAGGGACUGAUUGUCACAGAGGUCACAUAAGGGCACACACCCGCUCUGCGUACUCGCUCAGUCACUUGACCAUGGCAGUGCCCGUUGGCUUUGGGGCUGACUGAGGUCUUGUUUUUAUUAUGCCAUAUAUAAGAUAAAGUGAACUUAACAUCAC